GACGAACGCUGGCGGCGUGCUUAACACAUGCAAGUCGAACGGAAAGGCCCUGCUUUUGUGGGGUGCUCGAGUGGCGAACGGGUGAGUAACACGUGAGUAACCUGCCCUUGACUUUGGGAUAACUUCAGGAAACUGGGGCUAAUACCGGAUAGGAGCUCCUGCUGCAUGGUGGGGGUUGGAAAGUUUCGGCGGUUGGGGAUGGACUCGCGGCUUAUCAGCUUGUUGGUGGGGUAGUGGCUUACCAAGGCUUUGACGGGUAGCCGGCCUGAGAGGGUGACCGGCCACAUUGGGACUGAGAUACGGCCCAGACUCCUAAGGGAGGCAGCAGUGGGGAAUAUUGCACAAUGGGCGGAAGCCUGAUGCCGCAACGCCGCGUGCGGGAUGACGGCCUUCGGGUUGUAAACCGCUUUCGCCUGUGACGAAGCGUGAGUGACGGUAAUGGGUAAAGAAGCACCGGCUAACUACGUG
rnacentral:rRNA from 1 species